UUCUGAAUAAAUACACAAAGGCAAAUAAGGGGAAAGGAAAAUUCUCAAUCCUAGGUUCUAUAAUCAAUUGAAUAAACUCCAAAUUGAUUCCUGAUUUUUUACCUAAAAAAAAAAUUGAUUCCUGAUUUUUUUUUCCUCAAAUAAUCAGAAACAUACAUAAAUAUAUGGAGAGAAUAAUUGGAGAGAAAUAUAAGCUUGGGCGCAAGAUCGGUGGCGGUUCGUUCGGAGUAAUAUAUCUCGCUACUCAUAUCGACACGGGUGAAAUUGUUGCGAUUAAAAUCGAAAGUAAGCAGACAAAACAUCCACAAUUAAUGUAUGAGGCGAAGUUGUAUAAUAUUCUGCAGGGCGGAAGUGGCAUUGCUAAUAUUAAAUGGCAUGGGGCAGAUGGAGAUGACAAUGUCCUUGUCCUUGACCUUCUUGGUCCUAGCCUUGAAGAUCUUUUCGUUUACUGUGGAACAAAGUUUUCUCUAAAAACAGUUCUCAUGUUGGCUGACCAGAUGAUUACGAGAAUAGAAUAUGUGCAUUCCAAAGGGUUUCUACAUAGAGAUGUCAAACCAGAUAACUUCCUAAUGGGUCUUGGAAGAAAAGCAAAUCAGGUGUAUAUUAUUGACUUUGGACUUGCGAAAAGAUACCGCGAUCCGACCACAAACCGCCACAUCCCUUACAGGGAAAAGAAAAAUUUGACUGGAACUGCUCGAUAUGCAAGCUGUAAUACUCAUUUGGGCAUUGAACAAAGUCGACGGGAUGAUUUAGAGGCUCUUGGUUAUGUUCUUUUGUACUUCUUGAGAGGAAGCCUUCCAUGGCAGGGUCUAAAAGCUGCUACAAAGAAGCAAAAGUAUGAUAAAAUAUGUGACAAAAAGGUGUCAACACCUGUUGAGGUUUUAUGCAAGUCUUAUCCUGUGGAGUUUGCAUCUUAUCUCCAUUACUGCCACUCAUUAACCUUUGAUCAACGGCCUGAUUAUGGAUUCUUGAAGCGUAUAUUCCGAGAUUUAUUUACUCGUGAAGGUUUUGUAUUUGACUAUGUAUUUGAUUGGACUAUUAUGAAGUAUCAACAAUCACAGAGGUCAAAGAUGAAUCUACAGCUACAUCAUCCGGUGUCAGCUUCUGGGUUGACCAGCACUAAAGAAUUGCCAGUGGGUUUAGAUAAGCUUCAAGCAGACAGAGGAACAAGUGAUCUGAGACAACCUAAUGGUCACAUAUCUUCUCUUUCCGGAGCUGUACGCGAUCUUAGUGCUGGUACUAUGGCAGAGAAACUAACUAUAAGCAAGGAACCACACCCCUCAUCUUCAUUUUCUCUGGCUAAUGCAUUCAAAAGAAAUAUUCCAAAACCAGGAGAGCCAAAUGAAACAGGAAAACAUGGACAUAGACACAAUAGUAAAGCUGGCCCAUCAAGCAGCUGGAUGCCAUCAUCACGCGACCUUUCUUCUGCCAAGUAAAGUGAAGUGGUAUUUGAUGGACAGCACUUAAGGCGCCAAAUGAUUUGCUCCUGUUGUGAAGUCACAUUUCUUGAAUCCUGUACAAGAUUGCUAAUUUAUUUCUUAAGGUACCGAAGUUCUUCAGAGUUUGAAUCAUGUAAGAUGGGAUUGAGGUACUUUGCAUCCAUGUAAUAUCCAGUGAUGGAGCCAUUUGUAGCCAGUGCUUUUCUGGUUAUGGCUUAUUUUGCACUUCACUACCUUUCAGAUUUUGGUAUGUGAUCAAUAUAACACCUGUGAAGCUGCUGCUUCUGAAUGCCGAAUAUAUAGCUUCUAAGGACUUCAUUCAAGGAUGGAAAGUUUUAUACUUGGUGUUUACAGGGAUCUUGGCUUCAUAUGGAAAGGAUGGAUUAGAAUUGGCGUCAUCUUGCACAGAGAAUAAUAAUGUGAUGAUCUUGAGCUGACUUCUAAGUAGCUGGUCUGCUUGGUCAAUUAAGAGAUUGAUGACAUUUCCUUGAGCCUGGAGGAUCAAACAAAUUUCUUUUUCGAAUCUUUCGGUGUUUUGGCUGGUUGUGGGUCAAUAUAGAAGCUGAAGCUGAAUGACUUUGCUCAAAUUUGAAUGGGUUGUGUCCUUUUCUAUGUUCUGUUCAGUAAAUGAAUGGAAGGUUAAUUGGAUACUCCGCGCAAAAGUAGGAAAGCCA